rnacentral:rRNA from 1 species
AUUGAACGCUGGCGGCAGGCCUAACACAUGCAAGUCGAGCGGCAGCGGGAAAGUAGCUUGCUACUUUUGCCGGCGAGCGGCGGACGGGUGAGUAAUGCCUGGGAAAUUGCCCAGUCGAGGGGGAUAACAGUUGGAAACGACUGCUAAUACCGCAUACGCCCUACGGGGGAAAGCAGGGGACCUUCGGGCCUUGCGCGGAUGGUUAUGCCCAGGUGGGAUUAGCUAGGUGGUGAGGUAAUGGCUCACCAAGGGGACGAUCCCUAGCUGGUCUGAGAGGACGAUCAGCCACACUGGAACUGAGACACGGUCCAGACUCCUACGGGAGGCAGCAGUGGGGAAUAUUGCACAAUGGGGGAAACCCUGAUGCAGCCAUGCCGCGUGUGUGAAGAAGGCCUUCGGGUUGUAAAGCACUUUCAGCGAGGAGGAAAGGUUGAUGCCUAAUACGUAUCAACUGUGACGUUACUCGCAGAAGAAGCACCGGCUAACUCCGUGCCAGCAGCCGCAGUAAGAC